rnacentral:rRNA from 1 species
AGUGAACGCUGGCGGUAGGCCUAACACAUGCAAGUCGAACGGCAGCACAGUAAGAGCUUGCUCUUACGGGUGGCGAGUGGCGGACGGGUGAGGAAUACAUCGGAAUCUACUUUUUCGUGGGGGAUAACGUGGGAAACUUACGCUAAUACCGCAUACGACCUACGGGUGAAAGCAGUGGAUCUUCGGACCUUGCGCGAUUGAAUGAGCCGAUGUCGGAUUAGCUAGUUGGCGGGGUAAAGGCCCACCAAGUCGACGAUCCGUAGCUGGUCUGAGAGGAUGAGCAGCCACACUGGAACUGAGACACGGUCCAGACUCCUACGGGAGGCAGCAGUGGGGAAUAUUGGACAAUGGGCGCAAGCCUGAUCCAGCCAUACCGCGUGGGUGAAGAAGGCCUUCGGGUUGUAAAGCCCUUUUGUUGGGAAAGAAAAGCAGCAGGUUAAUACCCCGCUGUUCUGACGGUACCCAAAGAAUAAGCACCGGCUAACUUCGUG